rnacentral:rRNA from 1 species
GGAGGUGGCAAGCGUUGUUCGGAUUCAUUGGGUGUAAAGGGUAUGUAGGUGUCUUGACAAGUCGAACGUGAAAUCCCUUGGGCUCAACCAAGGAACUGCAUUCGAUACUGUCAGGAUUGAGUAUGGAAGAGGAGAGUGGAAUUCCCGGUGUAAGGGUGAAAUCUGUAGAUAUCGGGAGGAACACCAGUGGCGAAAGCGGCUCUCUGGUCCAAUACUGACACUGAAAUACGAAAGCAAGGGGAGCAAACAGGAUUAGAUACCCUGGUAGUCCUUGCAGUAAACGAUGGUCACUAGGUGUAGGCCGCAAGGUCUGUGCCGUAGCAAACGCAUUAAGUGACCCACCUGGGGAGUACGGCGGCAAACGUUGA